rnacentral:lncRNA from 1 species
GACCCAGGGCAGAAGACAACCAAGUGGGCUCUGACUCAAGGUUUGAGGGGAAUCUUUCAGUUUUGCUUUCAUUAACCUAUGAAUCCUGCUUACAGCAACUGUGGCUGUCAGGCAUCCCCAAAUGACACUGUAUUGCUGCCUUGGAUACCUCAUGGAUGCUUUGGAGAAUCUCCCAGAGGAUCUGCAAGUGCAGAGUGCUCACUCUAGCCUUCCCAGUGAAGAAAGGGAGCAGGCAAUGACACACAGCAAUUCACAGAAGCAUCACAAGGAGAAGAAUUUCUCAGCUCAGAGGCUGCCCUAUGAAGCCUGCUCCUGGGGUUAACCCUGGGAUGUAUUCAAGAGGAACCAAGCAAUCUUUAUGGGGUUGUCCAGUUGCCUCCACUGAUCUGCUGGAUCACUGGGCACUGCUGGUAGAAGCAGUGACCUAGAGGUCUAGAAGAGGCCAUAAACUAACAAGACAGAGUUGUUAGAAAGUGGAGGGAAAAUCAGGACCGAGCAGACUUUGCAAAGAUGACUUUGACCUCUGUCUAUGACUGAGGAUAGAUUCAUGUCUACAAAAUUCAGCUAAAGCAAAAUAACCCCUAGAAAGAAGCAGUAUUGCCUAAUAGAAUUGGCAUUGAUCUCCCACAAGUGUGAGAAGGCUGCAAUGUGACAGGAUUUAUCCUGGUACAUUUUCUGCCCAAGAGAUACCUGGAUGUUUGCCUGUGGUUGGCUUUUAUUCAUUUCACUUGCUGUAAGUGUGCUCAGUGGGGAAAAAUCUGCUGUUUUGUAAAAGGUUUCCUGGCUCCCAAGCAGCCCAGUGACUGAGUAUACAAUGCAAUCAAUGUUACAAGCACUGCUUAUGCUACACUCUGGUGCACUGCCAGGAUCCCACACAGAUCAACCUGACCCAGCCGGAGAAAUCAUUGAGAAAUAAGAGAGAGGGAGAAGGAGCAAGAAGAAAUCCCCAAAUCCCCAGAAACACAAUGUUAAACCCUCCCACCUGAUCUGCAAAACAAAAGCCAGCCCAGACCAAAUAUAAACCAAGGCUGCACAGCCAAAACAACCAGACUGCAGAAGGUCAGAUAAUCUGAAAUGUGCGUAUCGCAGCAGGGCGGACGUGCCUGCAGCCAGCUUGUGGAGGGGAGGAGGAAUGAUGUCUCCCUGCACAGGCUUAUUUGGGAUCCUCUGAAACUCUGGUGCUCUUGGGAAUCACAGGAGUGACUAGCCAGGAGGGAGCCCAUAGUCUCCUCAGAUGUUGGCUGGCAGCUGCUGUUCCAGAUGCAUCACUAGUGCUGUUCCUCCCUGCCCACAUGGGGAUGACACUGCAGUUUGUAGGAUGA